GGACCAGUACACAUAUGGCUGACUGCAACUCUGGACGAAGAAUGUAUCGAGUGAGGAUAUUCCCAUCUGUUGGAGCGAUGUUUGUCUGGCUGAAAAUAUUUUGGUGAGGCAUGGAGAAGCAGAAGUCGGAGCUUGACAUGGAGAAGCAGAACACGGAGCUCUACUUGGAGAACUUUAAGCUGAUGUGUGAGAACGAAAAGAUGCGCAAGAUAGCCGAGAGAAUCAGCCAGGAGAAUCAGGCCUGGUUGCAAAUAAAGCAGAAGCUUCAAGAAAUAGAGGCCAUGCAGCUCAACACCAGCUCUACUUCAGCAACACCUCACAAGUAGAAACAUGUUUCUUCAACACAUUCAAAGUCCUUAUCAGUGUUAUGCCAUUGAAGCACAGCUCUCUCUCUCUCUAAAAACUGCUAAUGUUUUUCUAGUUUAUUCUGCUUAUUGUUGUACCCCAUCUACAUCUUGUAAUCCCCAUUUCUGUUAUUUCACAAAAACAGAAUAAAUUUACAUAUGAAAAACAUCCCAAUGCUGUGUGAGUCAAGUAUAAGGAACAAACUUUUUUUUU